GAUGAACGCUAGCGGCAGGCCUAAUACAUGCAAGUCGAGGGAGAAUGUUGGAUUCGUCUGACAUGAAACCGGCGCACGGGUGCGUAACACGUAUGCAACCUACCUUUAACUGGGGUAUAGCUCAGAGAAAUCUGAAUUAAUCCCCCAUAAGACUACGACAUGGCAUCAUGAUGUAGUUAAAGCUCCGGCGGUUAAGGAUGGGCAUGCGGUACAUUAGCUAGUUGGUGAGGUAAUGGCUCACCAAGGCUACGAUGUAUAGGGGGUCUGAGAGGAUGAUCCCCCACACUGGUACUGAGACAAGGACCAGACUCCUACGGGAUGCAGCAGUAGGGAAUAUUGGUCAAUGGACGCAAGUCUGAACCAGCCAUGCCGCGUGAAGGAUGAAGGCCCUAUGGGUCGUAAACUUCUUUUAUUAGGGAAGAAAAAACGGGAUGCGUCCUGUACUGACGGUACUUAAUGAAUAAGGAUCGGCUAACUUCGUGCCAGCAGCCGCCGUAA
rnacentral:rRNA from 1 species